UACCAGCCUCCUCGUGCCAUUCUCUUCGCGUACGUACGCUAGCGCGCGUUUUCCUUACAUUCGCGCGAGUAUUUCAAAUGCUCUGGCGUUCGUGCGUUUGAUAAACUUCGAACCGAACUCGUCGAGUUCCACGCGAUACGUCGGAAACGUUCUCUUUUUCCUAUCCGCGUAUUUCGAUGGUUCGCUAUUUUUAACGCUUGUUUAUCGAUACUUUCCAAUUAGUUUCGACGAUAACAGUUCCCUGCUUAGGCUACAUUCCGUCUAUUUUUACCUUCGUCGCUUGUUUACGAGCCGUAAAAAACGAUGCCAAUUUCGUGGCCUCAUAUUAUCUAGUUCGAUCUAAAAUAAUUCCCAGAUGAUAGUUUAUCAACCUGCUAUUGAUAGGCAAAGGAGUUCUGAUUUUUACUUCCGUAGAUCUGGAGAUCAUCGUACAGUCAACAGAAAUACCGGAAAUUUCAGCUAUUUAAUUGCCCGGUGCGACAAGUCACGGGAAAUUCUUCGAAAGGACGAAUUUUCCGAAAAUAUUUCUUCUCCGUGCAAUCGAUAUUUCUUUUCUGCCUUGGGCAAUGAUUAAACGCGAUAAACAUGGAAUGGCAGUGAGGGCGAGGUAUUAAUAGCGUCACCUUGGAAGGCCAGCAUUUCCUUCGACAGCAAUGUCGGGUUACGUAAGCCUCCCACGACGAGAUACGAGUCGCAUUGUUAAUUCCCAGGGAACCUGGAGAGCCUCCAUUAAUCAACGGUCCAUUCAAGGUAUAACCAAUGAGGUAUCGACGGCCCACCAUAAAUCGUUACAUCGCAGCGGCACCGGCGAGAGGAAAGAGCGACCGAUCAGACCCGUGGCGCGACUUUCAAUAAAAUCGCCGUGCUGAAAAUACGCGAAAGUCGAAAUAGAAGCGGCGUAUCGAUCGACGGAGGGUGCUCGAGCGAAUCUACGAAAUGUCGAAGGUCGUAGCUGACUGGGCGACGCCGUUCCUCCUGCGACCGAUCGUUUGCCAGAACGACGAAAAACCAGCCAGUUUCCCAAUCGUUUUCAUCGGCCACUCACCACCAUUUGCUUCCAUGCACGCGUCCGGACACGCUGUUUACGGUUUCCACGUGGCGCCACGCCCCAACCCACCGCGCGCGCCACUUGCCAAAGUCCACGGAGUGCCGGCAAAGUUUCCUAAUCGUAGGCCGGGGAAUCCCCGACUCACCCACCCCACGGUGUCCCUGUCCUUGCAGAUCAGCCGAGAGACGCGCCGCCGGAACAAUCGUUGACCAAAUUCUCUCGCCGCCUGGAAACCGGAGCCUCCCCUUUAAGCGUCUUUGCUUUAGACCCAUCUACCCUUUCGACCAUAGACUUUUCCAGAGCUGGCGCUUUCUUCCAAAUCGCGGCUGAUAGCGUUCUUUCUCUUGCAGAAAGAAAGUUUCGCGAUACCAAGUGGAAUUUUACGUUUAAUCGACGCCUACGGACAAGUCGAGCGACGAUUUAUCGAUCGUCUGGCGCGAUCUACUUUCUAAAUCGAGAGCGAUCUUCGUGCAAUAGAGGAAUCUUAUUUGCGCAACGUUUUGUCGCUCGCCUGCGUGCCAUUAUUUUCGGAAACGGUCCUUUCCACGACUUUCCUCGUCCAAAAUCGAAUUCUGUGCAAGUUUUCUUAGCCACCGAUUAGAAUAAAGUGCAGGACUUUACCUCUGUCUUCAGAUUUUGCGGAAAAAGAAUUGAAAAAAAAAAGAAGCAAAUCUUAGAAACGAACUACGAUCGAACGUUUGAUCGCAUCUACGAAGAUCGAUCGUCUCGUAGAAUCAUUUCGGACCAAUCUACCCUUUCAAAGGCGGUCCCCUUUGUUCUUCAGAAAAUAAAGGAAAUUUCCCAGGCAUUGAUAACAUCGAACAAACUUCGCAGCCAGCCUGCGUACAAGUAAUCCACCAUUCUCUGGAAGGAAAAAUUUCGCGCAGCGUGAUUUUCAAAAAUACUCCUCCUAAAAACAUUUUUCAAAUGGUUGCCGACGGCGUUGCUCGCAUAAUCGAGAACAUUCGCCAGCCUUGCUAAAUACCAGAGGAGAUCGAAGUUUGCGCGAUAACCUCGCGCACGACACAACCUACCCCAUGGAUGAGAUCCGGCCGCGGAAAUAACGCGCUGCUUUUUGAAAAAGGAAAACAAAUCGCCGACUGUUUCUCACCGCGCGACAGAUCGUUAUCGAGCGCUGAUCAACGCGUACGAACAUCGGCGUCGUUGGUGGUGGUCGCUUCGCCGAGCGUGACGAAGCAGGAAGACACGUUGCGUGUGCGAAAAUAGCAUCCAUCUCGUACGAUUGGACGGAAUCGCGGCCGCGGUUGGUCCGUGGCGUAUCGAGAUAAAAGCAGGGGAAAAGGGAGGACGCGGAUACGGGGGCCCAUGAAAACCGCGAGAAAUCAUAGCCGCUUCUCACCCCGUUCAUCGUUGCAGCGGCACAAAACGAAACGGUUCUCUCGGCUUGCCGCUAAUCUCGCGGCCGAUCCGAUCGGGGAUGAGCACGUAGCUGUAGGAAAAAAGGAAGGAAAAAGCGGAGGACACGGGGGAGCGGACAGAGACAGGGUGGAAAGGGAUGGGAAAAAAGACGGCGAAUAACUCGGUGUACAUUCGGCGAGACAAACUUGAUCAAUGGCCCCGGACGAGCAGAGUCGCGAGGAGGAUACGUGUGCGAGGCACAGGGAAGCGUGGCGCAUUGUACGAAAAGCGAGCGUGGUAUUAAUAACAAUUCUCACAUCUGGCCGAACAAACGUACACGCCAUACACGAAAGGGGUUGAUCGGGUGUACGUGCGUAUAAAAUAUACAUAGAAUUUCGUCUGUAAACGAACACAGGGACACCAGCGGCGAUACCGGCGGAUAGAAGGAA